GGACAACAGGAGGAGAAACAGGAACAAGAUCAAGGACUAUCACAGUCUCUGGUGUCAUCAUUGGAUGCUCCUCAGUAAGCAGCCAAGGCUGCUCCUAGGUCUCUGUCUGUUCAAAGAUCAGGUUCUCAGCUCUUUACUUCUCUUCAUCUGGCUUGCAACAGCAAUAAAUAACAUGGACAGGAGGAAAGAAAUUUGCCUGUACUGAUGCAAGUUCAUUUUUAAUUCAAGUAAAUGACCUAGCUGCAAUCAGUGUAUUCAGAGAGGAUUCAUAAACAAAAUUUUAAGAUCAUCACAGCCUAGGGGGGCACUGAUGUUUUAGCAACCCUCCAAUUUUACAAAGUGGCAACAACAAGCAUGGCUAUAAAUACUAUUAUGUGACUUUAUCAUGGCUAAUUAAACGUAUUAAGCACAGGUACAGUGUACAGGUACAAUUAGCCUAAAAAAGGCUAAUUUAGCUAGCUUCCACCGUAUAUUUUCCGGCAAAAAAAAAAAAAAUGUUACAAACGUGUCUUCAGUCAUUCGCAUCACAGUCCUACUGCCAUUAAGUCCUAAAACUACCAUCAGUAACUUUAUAACGUAACACUUUGGAGUUAUUUUUUGUUUUAGAGUACAAAAACAUUUAUGACAGGUGCAGGUUUCUACUCACCGGAGUGUAAGUGUCGCAUAGGAUGACAUCAUCGUAUUCUUCUUGGGUUUUUGUGGGGUCCGUCCUUAUUUUUAUUAUUUCAAUCAAAAAUAUUAAACGUUUACAGAACAGUUUGCAUGCAAUCACAAAAGAAAAUGCAUCUUAAAUUUUCUUAAAUUUAUUUGAUGUAAAUCAUUUAUAUCAUACACAAAAAUAGUUGGUAAAUUAAAAAAAAAAAGCUUUUAAAUCAAGCUAACAAAAACCACAAUGAAAACCCUCCGGUUUUAUAUUUUACUGAGUUAUUUUUAAAUACCGAAUUAAAGUCUUAUGACCGAUACGUCUGGCAUGUAUUUGCAGUAUAUAUUCUUAAUAUCCUGUUCAAACUAGCACAUAAAUUGAAAAUAAAGUUUUUUUUUUUUUUUUUUGUUUUUUUUGUUAAAUAGAAUAGACUCGUCAUCUUAUUCGUUCCUAGAUCGUCAGUAUCGGACGCUUAGGGAGCGGUACAGCAUUCAAUGAGAGAACCCUUCGCGUCACAUAUUGACGCGAAGAGGGUACCCUCGGCGUCAAUAUGUGACGCCGAGGGUACCUG